rnacentral:rRNA from 1 species
UACAGAGGUCCCAAGCGUUGUUCGGAUUCAUUGGGCGUAAAGGGCGCGUAGGCGGUGUGUCAAGUCAGGCGUGAAAGCCCCGGGCUCAACCUGGGAACCGCGCUUGAGACUGGCACGCUCGAGUUCGGGAGAGGAUGGUGGAAUUCCCAGUGUAGAGGUGAAAUUCGUAGAUAUUGGGAAGAACACCGAUGGCGAAGGCAGCCAUCUGGACCGACACUGACGCUGAGGCGCGAAAGCGUGGGGAGCAAACAGG